CCUACGGGAGGCAGCAGUGGGGAAUAUUGCACAAUGGGGGAAACCCUGAUGCAGCGACGCCGCGUGAGUGAAGAAGUAUUUCGGUAUGUAAAGCUCUAUCAGCAGGGAAGAAAAUGACGGUACCUGAUUAAGAAGCCCCGGCUAACUACGUGCCAGCAGCCGCGGUAAUACGUAGGGGGCAAGCGUUAUCCGGAUUGACUGGGUGUAAAGGGAGCGUAGACGGCAGAACAAGUCUGGAGUGAAAUGCCGGGGCUUAACCCCGGAACUGCUUUGGAAACUGUGAAGCUAGAGUGGAGGAGAGGUAAGUGGAAUGCCUAGUGUAGCGGUGAAAUGCGUAGAUAUUAGGAGGAACACCAGUGGCGAAGGCGGCUUACUGGACUGUAACUGACGUUGAGGCUCGAAAGCGUGGGGAGCAAACAGGAUUAGAUACCCCAGUAGU
rnacentral:rRNA from 1 species